AUCUUUUCAAGCCAUUCAUGUAUUCUUUUUGUUGGUGGUUAUGUUUUCCCUGGAAGAGUUGAAUAAUUCAGGCCUGGUGCCAGUGUAACUCGGGACAAAGGGAUUAAGCCACACCCAGGAAGGGCACAAAGCCAGCCCAGGAGGCCCACUCAGAGGCCGGGCGGUCCCUGCAUAAGACUGUGGAUGGAGAGAGCAGGCAGGGGUGGCCUGAUUCCUGCUGGGUCCUUGACCGUGAUCUGGGCUCAGCACUCUGGCCCCAUUCUGGGUGAGCCUUGGGGUCCCCGCCCUGGGCCCCGGCAGACGGGUUUCUGAGGGCAGAGCAUCCGCUCUCCCAGGGCCUGCUCUCAGUAACGCAGGAGCCGGGAGGAGGCCGGCGUUCCUGCUACUCCGUCCAGGUGGGAGGGUAAGGGGCCCCGGCGUGGGUGGGGCGGGGAGGCGACCCCCUGAGACGGCCCCUUAGUUGGCUCCGUCUACCCCAAGUCACCAACUUUGUCUCCACUCAGGGGCUGUUCCCAGACCUCACACGCUUCCCGUGGCCCAGCCCCAAACCUGGGCUGGCCGCGAGCCCCGACUCCCGGGCAUCCGCGCAGCCCUGCCAUCUGGCUCAGGCCGGUCCACUCCCAGGCAGAGCUCUCCCGCCGCAGCCCUGGCAGGCGGCUGUUGCUGAGAACCUGCUCUGGGCUGGACCUCCCCCCACCCACCCCUCCAUCCCACCUCGUGUCUAAACCAGGGCCCGGCCUCGUGAUGUCCCUGCCCAGCGGCUCCCGGCUCCAUCCCUUCCCUCCCCAAGCGGUUCCUCAUGUGGGCUUCCUGGCCAUUCUCCCCACCUCCCCCAGCUCUUAGAAGCUCAGGUCUGACUGGGUUCUCUCCUGCUUAAAACCCUUUGCAGGCAUCCCUUUGUUUUCGGCCAAAGCCGAGCCUCCAAGCCUGGGCCGCUCUGUGGAAUCCGGCCCUACAAGCAUGUGGGUUCCUCGACUGCCCUCCCCUCCCCACAUGGGCCUCCGUCUGGGGCCCUCUCUGCUGGCCUGCCCUGUCCUGGAAUUUUCGGUGCUCCCUCUGCAGGAACCCUCAGGGACCGAGCCCACCGCGCCCUGCACCUCUUCGUAGCCUCUGCUGCCAACGGUAAUUAAGUAAGGGAGCGCGGCUUAGCAUCUCCUCUGCCGAAAUGUACUGUCUGCAAGAGCAGCGUAUUGUGUGUCCCGUUGACAGCUCUGGACUGAAGCUCUCCACGUUUUUGAAUAAAUGAAUAAGGCUCUUAAGCUCCGACACACAUGGGCCUGGCACCUUAGGGUCUCUGAGCAAGUACAGUACGGCUGGCUGGAUGCCCCGGGCAAGGCCAUUACGAAUCCUGUGACCCUGUCCUAGUUUCCCAACUUGGGAUGCUUUCCAAGGGCACGGCCUGGCCCCGCUCUUCCAUGGUUGCUGACUUCAUUGGGGAAACCAGGACACUUGUGGUUCCCUUUCUUUCCUAUAGAGCACAGAUCAGUUCUCAGAGCACCAGGGACCCCAAGAGGCUUUAGGGGAGGCUGACCCCCCGAAAUUCUGUGGUAUUUUGUGCCCCUACAGGCGGUUCAGGGUCGAUCCCAGAAAGGCUUUGAAGCUGGGCCAGGUGGCAGGAAUUUACCCUGUAAAUGCUGCCCUGCACGUUUCCUUCUCAGAUGCCUGCUGCAGACCUUAGUCGUCAGGCUCUGCAUGGGACCCCAGAGAACGCUGUUCUAGUGUGUUAUGCCCCCCACACAUUCAUGGUUCUCAGAGCUACAUCAGCACGCAGACAAGCACAUAGCACAGAAAGGUGAAGAAAUUUUCCCCAAAUCUCAGAGCUUUGUAAGUGGCAGAACCAGGAUUUGAAGCUGGCAGUCUGGCCCCAGAUCCCGUUCUCACAGCCCUGGACUUACACUGUCCUGUUGAUCCUGAGGGCUCCAUGGUGCAGACUUGUCCUGUGGCCUCUCUAGCCUUUCUCCCCAUGCCACUGAGAGGUGACUUUGCAGCCUCCCCUCUUUUAUCAGGAAAAAAUGGUCCCGAGCCGAGCCUUCUGGAACUUCCAGGGGAGACCCUUCCAGCUAGCUGAAGAGGGGCCGCCCAGUCCAUCAUGCCUAGGGCUGCGGUGGGGAUGGGCAGAGGGGAGGGCUGUUACAGAGCCUUAGGAGGCCCCAGCUGAGGAACAGGGGUGCUUAGGAGGUGGAGAACACGGGGGGGCGCAGCCGGGGUGGGCUCAAGUCCUGGUCCUGCCGCUUUCGCGGAGUGACCCCAAGCAAGGGACUUCACACCUCUGGUCCUGAGUUUCCUGUCUGUACAAUGCGGACAUUAAUGUGUAUCGUGCAGCAUUCUUCUGACAAGGAAAGUAAAAUAAAACUUGCAAAAUGUGAAUCCCAGACAGGGUUUACAGUAAGCUUUAAAAGAAGAUUGGUUCCUAAAUGUUAGUGCUUUUAAGCGGUCCAGGUAGCAGGGUGUUCAGGUCUUGCAGUUGUGCCCAAAUACCAGCAGUUUCUUGUGGCUGGAACCUUCCCAGGGAGCCCUCACCACCUCACACAGGGCUCCACUUCAAACUCUCAGAGCCGCGGUGGGGGCAGGUCCCUACCUUGCCCUCAGCUGACGCCUUUUGGGAAAUUACUCAGCAGCAGCUGAGAGCAAAGGACCCAGGGGGCCCUGGGGAGACAGCAAACGGGA